rnacentral:rRNA from 1 species
CACGCCGCGUGAGUGAUGAAGGCUUUCGGGUCGUAAAACUCUGUUGUUAGGGAAGAACAAGUACGAGAGUAACUGCUCGUACCUUGACGGUACCUAACCAGAAAGCCACGGCUAACUACGUGCCAGCAGCCGCGGUAAUACUUAGGGUGCCGCCCGCCGCAUAAAUAC